GGAAUUUUCCGCAAUGGGCGAAAGCCUGACGGAGCAACGCCGCGUGAGGGAUGAAGGCCUCUGGGCUGUAAACCUCUUUUCUCAAGGAAGAAGAUCUGACGGUACUUGAGGAAUAAGCCACGGCUAAUUCCGUGCCAGCAGCCGCGGUAAUACGGGAGUGGCAAGCGUUAUCCGGAAUUAUUGGGCGUAAAGCGUCCGCAGGCGGCCCAUCAAGUCUGCUGUUAAAAAGUGGAGCUUAACUCCAUCAUGGCAGUGGAAACUGUUGGGCUAGAGUGUGGUAGGGGCAGAGGGAAUUCCCGGUGUAGCGGUGAAAUGCGUAGAUAUCGGGAAGAACACCAGUGGCGAAGGCGCUCUGCUGGGCCAUAACUGACGCUCAUGGACGAAAGCCAGGGGAGCGAAAGGGAUUAGAUACCCCUGUAGUC
rnacentral:rRNA from 1 species